rnacentral:ribozyme from 1 species
AUGAUAGUAUGUUCUGUAAAAGGGUUGGAUCCGACGCCCCUAGAAGGCUACUAUAGGCUCUCCUUCUCAACUCCUACUCAAUACGUCCACGACGUGCAGAACGGUAACUUUUCGCCUAGAUUCAAGCUUGGGUACACGGGGAAACCCAACCCCUUGGGCCCCCCUCCCAACCCCUCGCCGUUGUAGGCAUGAUGAUUGUGUUGCAGUGC